rnacentral:rRNA from 1 species
UGGGGAAUAUUGCACAAUGGAGGAAACUCUGAUGCAGCGACGCCGCGUGAGCGAUGAAGUAUUUCGGUAUGUAAAGCUCUAUCAGCAGGGAAGAUAAUGACGGUACCUGAGUAAGAAGCUCCGGCUAAAUACGUGCCAGCAGCCGCGGUAAUACGUAUGGAGCAAGCGUUAUCCGGAUUUACUGGGUGUAAAGGGCGAGUAGGCGGUCUUGCAAGUCAGAUGUGAAAUACCGGAGCUCAACUCCGGGGCUGCAUUUGAAACUGUAGGACUUGAGUGAUGGAGAGGCAGGCGGAAUUCCCGGUGUAGCGGUGGAAUGCGUAGAUAUCGGGAGGAACACCAGUGGCGAAGGCGGCCUGCUGGACAUUAACUGACGCUGAGGAGCGAAAGCGUGGGGAGCAAACAGGAUUAGAUACCCUGGUAGU